CAGCAGCCACGGGAAUACGUAGGGUGCAAGCGUUAAUCGGAAUUACUGGGUGUAAAGCGUGCGUAGGUGGUGGUUUAAGUCCGUUGUGAAAGCCCUGGGCUCAACCUGGGAAUUGCAGUGGAUACUGGGUCACUAGAGUGUGGUAGAGGAUGGUGGAAUUCCCGGUGUAGCGGUGAAAUGCGUAGAGAUCGGGAGGAACAUCAGUGGCGAAGGCGGCCAUCUGGGACAACACUGACGCUGAGGCACGGAAGCGUGGGGAGCAAACAGGAUUAGAUACCCGCGUAGUCCCUGUCUCUUAUAC
rnacentral:rRNA from 1 species